UGCAAGUCGAGCGAAUGAYGAGAAGCUUGCUUCUCUGAUUUAGCGGCGGACGGGUGAGUAACACGUGGGCAACCUGCCCUGUAGACUGGGAUAACUUCGGGAAACCGGAGCUAAUACCGGAUAAUUCUUUUAGCCUCAUGGCUUUAAGCUAAAAGGCGCUUCGGCGUCACUACAGGAUGGGCCCGCGGUGCAUUAGCUAGUUGGUGGGGUAACGGCCUACCAAGGCAACGAUGCAUAGCCGACCUGAGAGGGUGAUCGGCCACAUUGGGACUGAGACACGGCCCAAACUCCUACGGGAGGCAGCAGUAGGGAAUCUUCCACAAUGGACGAAAGUCUGAUGGAGCAACGCCGCGUGAGUGAUGAAGGUUUUCGGAUCGUAAAACUCUGUUGUAAGGGAAGAACAAGUGCGUUAGGUAAUGAACGCACCUUGACGGUACCUUAUUAGAAAGCCACGGCUAACUACGUGCCAGCAGCCGCGGUAAUACGUAGGUGGCAAGCGUUGUCCGGAUUUAUUGGGCGUAAAGCGCGCGCAGGUGGUUUCUUAAGUCUGAUGUGAAAGCCCACGGCUCAACCGUGGAGGGUCAUUGGAAACUGGGAGACUUGAGUGCAGAAGAGGAUAGUGGAAUUCCAAGUGUAGCGGUGAAAUGCGUAGAGAUUUGGAGGAACACCAGUGGCGAAGGCGACUGUCUGGUCUGUAACUGACACUGAGGCGCGAAAGCGUGGGGAGCAAACAGGAUUAGAUACCCUGGUAGUCCACGCCGUAAACGAUGAGUGCUAAGUGUUAGGGGGUUUCCGCCCCUUAGUGCUGCAGCUAACGCAUUAAGCACUCCGCCUGGGGAGUACGACCGCAAGGUUGAAACUCAAAGGAAUUGACGGGGGCCCGCACAAGCGGUGGAGCAUGUGGUUUAAUUCGAAGCAACGCGAAGAACCUUACCAGGUCUUGACAUCCCAAUGACCGUCUUAGAAGAUAAGAUUUUCCCUUCGGGGACAUUGGUGACAGGUGGGUGCAUGGUUGUCGUCAGCUCGUGUCGUGAGAUGUUGGGGUUAAGUCCCGCAACGAGCGCAACCCUUUAUUCUUAGUUGCCAUCAUUU
rnacentral:rRNA from 1 species